GCACUUCUGGAGAGUCCCAUACUAGGACGAAACGGCCGUCUAGUGC
rfam:Schistosoma mansoni strain Puerto Rico chromosome 7, complete genome